GAUGAACGCUGGCGGCGUGCUUAACACAUGCAAGUCGAACGGUGAAGCCCAGCUUGCUGGGUGGUUUGGGGGCGAAGGGGUGGGUAACACGUGAGUACCCCGCCCUUUACUCUGGGAUAAGCCUGGAAAUAUGGGUAUAAUCGCGAAUACGACCUUCCACCUCCGGGUGGGUGUUGGAGAGAUUUAUCGGUUUUGGAUGGACUCGCGGCGUAUCAGCUUUUGGGUGGGGUAGUGGUUCAGCAACGCGACGGCGGGUAGCCGGCCUGGGAGGGGGACCGGCCCCACUGGGCCUACGACACGGCCCAGACUCCAACGGGGGGCAGCGGGGGGAAGUAUGGCCCAAUGGGCGCAAGCCUGUGGAGGAGACGCCCGGGGAGGAAUGACGGCCUUCGGGUUGUAAACCUCUUCAGGUAGGGAAGAAGCUGUAGUGACGGUACCUGCAGAAGAAGCACCGGCUAACUACGUG
rnacentral:rRNA from 1 species